GGCAGCAUGGUCUUAGCUUGCUAAGGCUGAUGGCGACCGGCGCACGGGUGAGUAACACGUAUCCAACCUGCCGUCUACUCUUGGCCAGCCUUCUGAAAGGAAGAUUAAUCCAGGAUGGGAUCAUGAGUUCACAUGUCCGCAUGAUUAAAGGUAUUUUCCGGUAGACGAUGGGGAUGCGUUCCAUUAGAUAGUAGGCGGGGUAACGGCCCACCUAGUCAACGAUGGAUAGGGGUUCUGAGAGGAAGGUCCCCCACAUUGGAACUGAGACACGGUCCAAACUCCUACGGGAGGCAGCAGUGAGGAAUAUUGGUCAAUGGGCGAUGGCCUGAACCAGCCAAGUAGCGUGAAGGAUGACUGCCCUAUGGGUUGUAAACUUCUUUUAUAAAGGAAUAAAGUCGGGUAUGCAUACCCGUUUGCAUGUACUUUAUGAAUAAGGAUCGGCUAACUCCGUGCCAGCAGCCGCGGUAAUACGGAGGAUCCGAGCGUUAUCCGGAUUUAUUGGGUUUAAAGGGAGCGUAGAUGGAUGUUUAAGUCAGUUGUGAAAGUUUGCGGCUCAACCGUAAAAUUGCAGUUGAUACUGGAUGUCUUGAGUGCAGUUGAGGCAGGCGGAAUUCGUGGUGUAGCGGUGAAAUGCUUAGAUAUCACGAAGAACUCCGAUUGCGAAGGCAGCCUGCUAAGCUGCAACUGACAUUGAGGCUCGAAAGUGUGGGUAUCAAAC
rnacentral:rRNA from 1 species